rnacentral:lncRNA from 1 species
UAUAGACAAACAUCAAAGAAAAGAAAGCGUACAUGUAAAUGUGAAGCAGACGACCUUUCUGCUGCAAAGCGUCCACGGAUGAUGACUUUGUUAUCAAAGAGAUUCGAGCAAAAAUGUUGGGAAUGGCGCGAAAGGAGAAGGAAAAUUGCUUUAGGUAUAAUCGUCUACUGGGAAGCUCAUGUGAGCGAUGUCCACAGACUAGCACGUAAGAGAGCAAGUGGUGAAAAGUACACCGAUUAUGUAGGUUUUGUGAGAUCUAAAUAUGCAAAGUUGUUUCAAGAAACAAUUACACCAACAACCAUAUCCUCCUCAUCACCAUCAUUGUCAUCAUCUAUAGUAGCAGUAAAGGAAGCAGAAGAUGAAGCAAAAAGAAUGAAAGUUUGAUAAAAAGGUUGCCAGACAAUGUUGAUGCGAAGGAAGAUCAUGAGGUCAAGGUCACUCCAGCUUCACGCAGAACAGGUUGGCGAAGAAAGGGCGAGAAGAGGUGCUGAAGACUUUAAUAAAGUUUUUUUUAUACUUUAUUUUGAUGUUUCCGAAUAACCAUAUAAAUUACGGUA